rnacentral:rRNA from 1 species
AGUGAACGCUGGCGGUAGGCCUAACACAUGCAAGUCGAACGGCAGCACAGUAAGAGCUUGCUCUUACGGGUGGCGAGUGGCGGACGGGUGAGGAAUACAUCGGACUCUACUUUUUCGUGGGGGUUAACGUAGGGAAACUUACGCUAAUACCGCAUACGACCUACGGGUGAAAGCAGGGGAUCUUCGGACCUUGCGCGAUUGAAUGAGCCGAUGUGGGAUUAGCUAGUUGGCGGGGUAAAGGCCCACCAAGGCGACGAUCCGUAGCUGGUCUGAGAGGAUGGUCAGCCGCACUGGAGCGGAGACACGGUCCAGACGACUGAGGGAGGGAGCAGUGGGGAAUAGGGGACAGUGGGCGCAAGCCUGAUCCAGCCAGACCGCGUGGGUGAAAGAGGCGUUCGGGUUGUAAAGACGUUUUGUUGGGAAAGAAAAGCAGCAGGUUAAGACCACGCGGUUCUGACGGUACCCAAAGAAUAAGCACCGGCUAACUUCGUG